CCGGACACGUGGUCACUUACCUGUACAGUAUAAAUAGCGAUUGGUCAGUCUUGGAAAUCAUCUUCCGAUCAUCCAUCCACCGUCAAGAAUCCUAGCUCGCCAGGCAACCAGUCACGAUGAACAAGACUUUGAUGCUCGUACUGAUCCCUUGCCUGUUGGCUUACGUCAUGGCCCAGUAUUACGACGCACGGCCUGGAUACGGUGGAUACGGAGGUCCUGGAUACUACUAUAACUACGCCCUCCAGAGCGCCCAGGGAGCCAAAACCAGCAACCUCUUGAACUUCGGUCUCCUCUUCUUCGCCAUCCUCAUCUUGACCAACGCCACCGGAAGUAUCACUGGUUAAACGUAGUUUCCAGAAACUGACAUGCACACUACACAAAUGAUCAAAUGAAUUCCACAGACGUCCUGUUAUAACUGGUAUUGCGCCGUAUAUUUGUUGCUUGAAUAAAACAUAACUUAAACCUAUA